AGAACGAACGCUGGCGGCAGGCUUAACACAUGCAAGUCGAGCGCACCGCAAGGUGAGCGGCAGACGGGUGAGUAACGCGUGGGAAUCUACCCAACCCUACGGAAUAACACAGGGAAACUUGUGCUAAAUACCGUAUACGCCCUACGGGGGAAAGAUUUAUCGGGGUUGGAUGAGCCCGCGUUGGAUUAGCUAGUUGGUGGGGUAAUGGCCUACCAAGGCGACGAUCCAUAGCUGGUCUGAGAGGAUGAUCAGCCACACUGGGACUGAGACACGGCCCAGACUCCUACGGGAGGCAGCAGUGGGGAAUAUUGGACAAUGGGCGAAAGCCUGAUCCAGCCAUGCCGCGUGAGUGAUGAAGGCCUUAGGGUUGUAAAGCUCUUUCAGUGGGGAAGAUAAUGACGGUACCCACAGAAGAAGCCCCGGCUAACUUCGCGCCAGCAGCCGC
rnacentral:rRNA from 1 species